rnacentral:rRNA from 1 species
UACAGAGUCUCAAGCGUUGUUCGGAUUCAUUGGGCGUAAAGGGUGUGUAGGUGGCGCCGUAAGUCGGGUGUGAAAUUUCGGAGCUUAACUCCGAAACUGCAUUCGAUACUGCGGUGCUUGAGGACUGGAGAGGAGACUGGAAUUCAUGGUGUAGCAGUGAAAUGCGUAGAGAUCAUGAGGAAGACCAGUGGCGAAGGCGGGUCUCUGGACAGUUCCUGACACUGAGACACGAAGGCCAGGGGAGCAAACGGGGAUUAGAACCAGUACCGUA